UCAUGUUGUAAUAGAUAAUAUCGACUUGCACGCCGAUGGUACGGCAACCGGCAGGAGCCAUAGGGUUGUCUUUAAACUAACGUUUGUGCUUGCAGAUGCGUUUACUAUUUUGCUAGGAUGUAGCUUUAGUAGUAAUAGCAUGAUUAGCACGACAACCCCGAUGGCGACACGUUGAUGGAGAUCAUGGUGUGACGCCGGUGACAAGAAGAUCGUGCCGGUGCUUUGGUGAUGGAGAUCAAGGAGCACGUGAUGAUGGCCAUAUCAUGUCACUUAUGAAUUGCAUGUGAUGUUAAUCCUUUUAUGCACCUUAUUUUGCUUAGAACGACGGUAGCAUUAUGAGG
rnacentral:lncRNA from 1 species